rnacentral:rRNA from 1 species
CCUACGGGAGGCAGCAGUGGGGAAUAUUGCGCAAUGGGCGAAAGCCUGACGCAGCGACGCCGCGUGCGGGAUGGAGGCUUUCGGGUUGUAAACCGCUUUUAUCGGGGAGCAAGCGAGAGUGAGUGUACCCGUUGAAUAAGCACCGGCUAACUACGUGCCAGCAGCCGCGGUAAU